rnacentral:lncRNA from 1 species
AAAAGACAAUGUCAAAGAGAGAAAGACACGGUUGAUUCCUCUCCAUCAAAGGAAUCUUGAAAGUCAAAGGUUAAGGAUAGAGAAGAUCAAUUGGUGGAAUUGCAUCCAAGCAUAGAUCAAGGUUAGUGUUUCUCUCUUCUUCUUUUAGAAAACUUUUAGGGUUGAAUUAAGAUAAAUCUAGUUUGGUCUUGGGUAGAUUUCAUAAUUGGAGCAUAAAAGUUAAUCUUACAUGUGGUAUCAGAGCCAUUCUAGAUUUAUUUAAUUCACUGUAAUUAGUUCUCAUGUGUUCAUGAACAUAUAUGGUUAAUUCCAUUUUAAAGAGUGUCCAUGAUCCAUGUUAUAGUAAACGUAUGUUGCUAUCAAGCGUGUGUUCAUAUCAUGUAUAUGCGCACUGUGUGUUGCGAACACGGUAACCGUAGUUGCGUAAAGGUUCCAGAAACUAAUAAUGUUUCUUUGAAGUAUACAACACGAGCACACGCUUGAAUGUUAUAAAUGGAUUCAUGCGUGAGACAGAAUGGUAUAGAUUCUAGGUUUAAGUGAACGGUUAACCAGUUGCAUGCAUGCGGUUUGAUUUUCUGUUAAGGUUACGUAAUAUAUUUGCAUGAAAUGGUCAAACAAGUCUGGAUUAUGUUUGUCCUGUUGUUGUCAUUUCUUUUCGCAAGGAAGGAUGAGAAAUAACUGUUCGCGUGAUGAAAAGUCACACUGCAUGCAUGUGUAACGUUAAUUUGUGAAAGAUUUUCACGGAAAGAAUAAUCAUAUCUGAAAAUAGAAUUGGUUGUACGCUAGAUUCUGGAUAUACGUAACCGUUAUUAUAGUGUGAAGAGUCACUAGUUUAGUAUAUUUUCUGGAAUUGUAUUUAUAUACAUGCAUGAAAUGUUGCAUGCUAAAUUCUGGAAUUUGAUUGACGGUUACUAGAUUGUUAUUGUGAAAAGUCACCACUAAAAGUGUGACUGAAGGAUGUUUCACAACUCUGUAGAAUCUGUUUGUCGCUGUAUUAGUGAACGUGUGCAUGGCAUGCUUAAUGAAUGCAUUAAACCUUUUGGUAUUUGUAGUUCAAUAAUAUCAUAAAGGUUUAGGCGGUGAUAUAUAGAGCCGUCGGUAUAUUUUAGUUAAAUGUCUUGUAUGGUUUGAGACAUCAAUAUAAUUCAUUUAGUUUAAAAUGCUUCCGCUGCAUUUUAAUAAUAGGUAAUUUGUGUUAUGAAAUAUUGACACAAUAUAGAAAUGAUUAUGUUAUGAAAUAAUAACGUAAUAUUAAGAUAAAUUUACCUAUUAAUAUUUUAAUAUUUAUAUAGUUUAUAACAUGUUAGUCACCAAAGUGACCUUGUUAUUUUCUUAUAAUUAUUAAAAUUAAUAUAGUAUGAUUGAUCAUGAUUAAGGAGAUGUUAAAUGACAUGAAAGUUAUAAUGAUCAAUUAUUUUAUUUUCUAUAUUCUAGGAGAUCACCCAAAGGUGGAUCAUUGAAUAUAGUUAAUAAUAUGAAAAGGAUUAUUCAUUUCUUUUACUAUAGUUAAUCGUAUUUAUACCCAAAGGUAGGAUACUAUUGACUUGAGUUUGAAAUGAUUAAUCAUUAAAGUCUAUUUUAACAUCACUGAAAGUGUUUGUGUUUAAGUAUUGCCCAAAGGUUGCUUAAAUUACAAACUUGAAAGUUUAUAUUAAUUUUAGAAUCUGAAGUAAAGUUUCAAAGUAGUAAAGGGUAAGCAUGUAUUAAAGCUUGCAGCUUCAGCAAAUGUAUUUGCAUUUGCUAACUCUGUCGUAAAGUUCAAUGGUCUCAUGGUCUGAAAAAAUCCGGUUCACACUGGGUAUGAUGACAUUAGACUUCACCGUAAUAAUUGAUGUGGGGCUCUCAGCCAUUAUGGAAGAUAACUCAUAAUAUGAAAAAUUUAUGUGUAAGAUAUGAGAGCAAUCUAAUAGGCUGAGUUUGAACGUAAUGAGGUUGAUGACGGUAGAAAGGGUUAAGUCGUCGAUGUCUAAGACAGAGUAUAAAAAGGAAUUUAUAGUCGGAUUCGGUUGUAAGUCGAAUGUAGGAAAUCUCAUAAAUGAGCUAACUAUGAAAAUGGUUGACUGGUCCCAGCUAAUCGUGAUCAUGUGACCCACAUGUCUAAUCUGGCUGUAAAGUUAAAAACCUUGGAAAUGGAGGUGCACGAGCAGUUUCUGGUCCAAUUCAUCAUGAACUCUAUACCUCUUGAGAUUAGCCAGUUUCAGGUGAAUAACAACAUCAGUAAAGAUAAUGAAACAUUAGAGAAUUAAAGGCUAUGUUUAUUCAAGAGGAGGGGAGAUCAAGGAAGAUGAAAGACCAAGUUACUAACCUCAUAGGUCUUGGAAGUGUCAGCAGCAGCAAAAUAAUCCCAAGUAGAAAGAACAAAAGGAAUAACAAGUCUUUCCUGGAAUGACUUAAAAGUCAAAUCCGAAAUGAAAUGAAGUGUUUCUUUUGCAAUAAAAUGAGACUCUUCAAGUAGGAUUGUCCUAAAAGGAAGGGUUGUUUUGAUAAGAAAGUAAACAUUAAAGUUUUGUUUGCUAUGAAAGGAGUCUUAUUGAAAUUUCUAGUAUUACUUGGUGGUUGAAAUUAGAGGCACUAAUCACGACAUAUCUAAUGAAAGUUAGGUUUCUUGUGGCAUCAAAGACCAGGUCACAUUUCCAAAGAAAGAAUGAGGUUGGUGAAGAGUGAAAGUCUUCCUCAAUUGGAUUUUAAUGACCUACAUGUAUGUAUAGAGUGCAUUAAAGGAAAGCAUAAUAAACAUAUUGUAAAGAAACCAGCCAUAAGAAGCACUCAGUUUCUUAGGUUAAUACACACCGAUAUAUGUGACCCUUUCGAUGCUCCUUCAUGAAGCGGUGAAAAGGACCUCAUCACUUUUAUUGAUGAUUACUCACAGUAUGUAUAUACUUAUCUACUGCAUGAAAGGUCUAAGUUUGUGGAUGUCCUAAAGGUGUUCACUAAUAAGAUGGCAAGGCGGCUAGAUGGAAAAGUUUAAGUAGUGAGAUCAGAUAUAGGUGGUAUGUCCUGGUCCAUUUGCAAAAUUGCUUGAAAGUACGGGCAUUUGUGCAAAACACACUAUGCCCAGUACUCCUCAGCAGAGUAGUGUAGCUGAGAGGUGGAACCGUACCUCAAUAAAGAUGGUUAGGAGCAUGUUGAGUAAAUGCUCUUUAUCCCUUUCUUUGUGGAUAUAUGGAUUAAAGACCGAAUCAUAUAUGCUGAACCAGGUUCCUAUUUAGGCAGUUCCUAAGAUUUCUUAUUAACUGUGGACAGAAAGGAAACCUAGUUUAAAGUAUCUACAUGUAUGGGGUUAACCAGAGAAAUAAGUCUAUAUAAUCCACAUGAAACGAAACUUGAUCCUAAGUCUGUCAAUGUAUUUUAUUGACUAUCAAGAGAGAUCAAAAGGGUAGUAUUUUAUUGUUCUAACCAUAGUACAAGAAAAGCUGAAUCGGGUUAUGUUAAGCUCAUUGAGAACGGUGAAACUAGUGGGAGUUGUGAACUACGAAAGGGUGGACAUUAAUGAAAUUCAAGUUAAAGUUCCUUCACCUGAGGUAGUUGUUUAUACACAAUCAAACAACAUGUGGUUGCACUGAUCUCACUAGCUAAAAUAUAUAGUCAGUGAACUUGUCACAAUUCAAUUAGAGGAUAGUGAACCACAAGUAACUUUAAAGCGAUAUGAAAGGGAAAGAAGAUCUGCCAUAUCAAAUGAUUAUGUGGUUGCUAUAGAAAGUGAAUGUGGCUUAAACAUUGAUGAAGACCCGAUCUCAUUCAAAAAGCCAUGGAAAGUGACAAUUCUGGAAAAGGUUGAUGCCACAAAGACGUAAAAAUCUAUGGGUGAUAACGAAGUUUGGUACUUAGUAGAGUUGUCUGAUGGUUUCAAUACCGUUGGUUGUAAAUGGUCUUUAAGACUAAACAUGACUCAAAAGGUAACAUUGGAAGUUACAAGGCUCCCCCUGUUGUUAAAGGUCUCACCCAGAAAAGAAGGCAUUAAUUAUGAAAAGACUUUCUUUCCAGUUUUAAAGAAUGAUUCUCUUAUAGUUGUUUUGGCUUUGGUGGCUCAUUAUGAUCUUAAGUUUCACCAGAUGGAUGUUAAACAGUUUUUCUGAAUGGAAAGCUUAAGGAGGAAGUAUAUAUGGACCAACAUGAAAGUUUCAUUGCCCGCAUGAAAAGAAAAUAUAGUGUGUAAGCUGAGAAAGAACAGGCUCCCAAACAUUGGUAUUUAAAGUUUAAUGAUACCAUCACGUCGAAUAGUUUUAGAGAGAUUAUCCUUGAUCGAUCUAUCUAUAUUAAGGUCAGUGGGAGCAAAUUUUUGGUGUUAGUCUUAUAUGUUAAUAUAAUUUUGCUUGCUGAAAAUAACAUAGACAUGUUACAUGAUCUAAAGUAGUAUCUCUUAGAACUUUGAAGUGAAAGAUAUGGGAGAGACAUCUUAUGUGAUCAUAAUAGAAAUCUUCGAAGAUAGAUCACAAGGACUGUUGAGUUUCUCCCACAUAAGAUAUAUUAGUAAGAUCUUAGAGAUAUAUGGAAUCGUAAAAUGCUCCAUAGGAAUAGCUCCAAUUCAUAAGAGGGAUAUGUUUAAUAAAAUGUAAAGUCUACAGAAUGAAUUGGAGCGUAAAGAGUAAUUCCUGAUACAUUAGUGGUUGGGAUUUUGAAUAUAUUGGAAACAUAUUCAGCUUGAUAUCAGUUUUGAUAUUGGAAAGUUGGACCGAUAAAGUAAUCCCAGAAUGAACCACUGGAACGCUGCAAAGAAAGGUCCUCUGGUACUUGCAAGGCACCAACGAGAACAUGCUUACAUAAAAGAGAUCCAAUCAAUCAAAGGUUAUAGGAUUUUCAGAUUCAAAUAAAGCCGGAUGCGUUGAUGGUAAAAAUCAACGUUUAGGUAUUGUUUCUAUUAUUUUUGGGAACAAUUUAAAGGAAAGUGGAAAGUCGUUUGUCAUUGCUACUUCCACUAUUAAGGUUGAAUUGUGGUAUGCUUUGAAGCCACAAUUCAUGUAUGGAGCCUGCGAAAAUUUAUCUCAGGGCUUUGGAUUGUCGACACUAACGCCAAACCGCUGAGAGAUUAUGGUGAUUAUUUCGCAGAUGUCUUCUUUUGAAAGGAUAACAAGCACUGGAAGGGUGCUAAGCACAUUAAGUUAUAGUACUUGUCUGUUAAAGGAGAAGUUCAGAAACAUAGAGUGUCAUUUGAGCACACAAGAAAAAGGUUUACCACCCAAGGCGUUAAAUGGUCAUUUAGAGCGUAUGGGUAUUAUAGAUAAAGCCUUGCUAUUAUAUUAUGGAAUGCUCAUUAAGAUUUUGACACCUAGAAAUUCAGUUAAAGUUAAGUUUCUGAUUUAUUGAAUAUGUUAUCAUUAAAGUAUGUGUAUACACUUAAGGUUAAUAGAUAACAUAUGGUAAAGAUUUGAGAAUAGAAGUUCUUCUCAUGUAAAGAUAAUAUAAAGUUAUAAUUGGUUUGUGAUACAUGGAAGGGACCAUGCCGAUUAAAUGACAUACAACCGCCAUGAUUCGAUCAAUUUUAAUUUUAGUAAAGAUAAAGUGGACAUGAUGAAAAGUGCACAUUAAAGUUAUUGAACUCUUAAGACGAUACAAAUGUCAAGUGGGAGAAUGUAAGAAUAUUUUAUAUUCUUAUAUGACAUAUGUGUCUAUUGGUUCAGUAUAAAGAUCAAGUUCAUAUUAAUGUUAUUGAUUCUAAUAUAAAAGACGAUACCGUGAUGGAUUGGUUUCGAUUAAAGCAUUAGUAUCGGGUGUAUUGAUAACCCUCUAUCCUUACCAUUUUAGUAUUAGUGUAUUUCUCUAUUAAUUAUUUAUAUGUAUAUAUAGUAUUUGUAGUUAGUUUAUAUUAACUAUAUAAAGAUGAUACUAUAUACAUGUAUAUGGGGGUUACAUAAAAGGUGGCUACAUAAAAAAGUGGUUACAUGGUAAUUGUCGUGAACCAUCACAACCAUUAACAUAAAUAUAUAAACCACACGUUCCCUCCUUUGUAAUGUAUUUAACGUAACAAAAGACAAUGUCAAAGAGAGAAAGACACGGUUGAUUCCUCUCCAUCAAAGGAAUCUUGAAAGUCAAAGGUUAAGGAUAGAGAAGAUCAAUUGGUGGAAUUGCAUCCAAGCAUAGAUCAAGGUUAGUGUUUCUCUCUUCUUCUUUUAGAAAACUUUUAGGGUUGAAUUAAGAUAAAUCUAGUUUGGUCUUGGGUAGAUUUCAUAAUUGGAGCAUAAAAGUUAAUCUUACAUUAUAUGCUAUCGGGAAUGAGAGAAACAAAAGGUUACAUACUUCUGUGGCUAGGCACACUUAUUUAAUUACCAAGGAGAUUUAAAUCAUUCUGAAGGCCAAGCUGUAUGGAAUGGAUCAGGAUGUAAGAAACACCAACAGGCAACAGGAUCACAUCAACUCAAACAACCACCGGAGACACGUACCUGCAUUCAUGGUUUCAAAACUUUGCGACAUAAAUUCCCAAGUUCAAGCCAAAUUCUGAAAUUGUUGUUGCACAUGUGUUUUAUUUUCUGCUUUUUACCUUGCCUGUGCCAGCCUAUUUCUUUCUGUAUUUUCUGAAACAAUGUCUCUCUCGGGAAUAAAGAUAAAAAGGAAGUUAGUAAAAAAAGAAAAAAUCAUUUCUCGUAUCGACAAGAGACAACAUCAUUGACUGACUUUGUAUACAUAUAUAAGUUUACAUCGAUUAUAAAAUUAACUUUCCAUUUUAAAAAGUAUUAUAAUUUAUUUUAUGAUUUAUAAACGC